rnacentral:rRNA from 1 species
CAGAGAGCUUGCUCUCGGGUGACGAGCGGCGGACGGGUGAGUAAUGUCUGGGAAACUGCCUGAUGGAGGGGGAUAACUACUGGAAACGGUAGCUAAUACCGCAUAACGUCGCAAGACCAAAGUGGGGGACCUUCGGGCCUCAUGCCAUCAGAUGUGCCCAGAUGGGAUUAGCUAGUAGGUGGGGUAAUGGCUCACCUAGGCGACGAUCCCUAGCUGGUCUGAGAGGAUGACCAGCCACACUGGAACUGAGACACGGUCCAGACUCCUACGGGAGGCAGCAGUGGGGAAUAUUGCACAAUGGGCGCAAGCCUGAUGCAGCCAUGCCGCGUGUGUGAAGAAGGCCUUCGGGUUGUAAAGCACUUUCAGCGGGGAGGAAGGCGUUAAGGUUAAUAACCUUGUCGAUUGACGUUACCCGCAGAAGAAGCACCGGCUAACUCCGUGCCAGCAGCCGCGGUAAUACGGAGGGUGCAAGCGUUAAUCGGAAUUACUGGGCGUAAAGCGCACGCAGGCGGUCUGUCAAGUCGGAUGUGAAAUCCCCGGGCUCAACCUGGGAACUGCAUUCGAAACUGGCAGGCUAGAGUCUUGUAGAGGGGGGUAGAAUUCCAGGUGUAGCGGUGAAAUGCGUAGAGAUCUGGAGGAAUACCGGUGGCGAAGGCGGCCCCCUGGACAAAGACUGACGCUCAGGUGCGAAAGCGUGGGGAGCAAACAGGAUUAGAUACCCUGGUAGUCCACGCCGUAAACGAUGUCGAUUUGGAGGUUGUGCCCUUGAGGCGUGGCUUCCGGAGCUAACGCGUUAAAUCGACCGCCUGGGGAGUACGGCCGCAAGGUUAAAACUCAAAUGAAUUGACGGGGGCCCGCACAAGCGGUGGAGCAUGUGGUUUAAUUCGAUGCAACGCGAAGAACCUUACCUGGUCUUGACAUCCACAGAACUUUCCAGAGAUGGAUUGGUGCCUUCGGGAACUGUGAGACAGGUGCUGCAUGGCUGUCGUCAGCUCGUGUUGUGAAAUGUUGGGUUAAGUCCCGCAACGAGCGCAACCCUUAUCCUUUGUUGCCAGCGGUUAGGCCGGGAACUCAAAGGAGACUGCCAGUGAUAAACUGGAGGAAGGUGGGGAUGACGUCAAGUCAUCAUGGCCCUUACGACCAGGGCUACACACGUGCUACAAUGGCAUAUACAAAGAGAAGCGACCUCGCGAGAGCAAGCGGACCUCAUAAAGUAUGUCGUAGUCCGGAUUGGAGUCUGCAACUCGACUCCAUGAAGUCGGAAUCGCUAGUAAUCGUAGAUCAGAAUGCUACGGUGAAUACGUUCCCGGGCCUUGUACACACCGCCCGUCACACCAUGGGAGUGGGUGCAAAAGAAGUAGGUAGCU